rnacentral:rRNA from 1 species
CCUACGGGUGGCAGCAGUCGGGAAUAUUGCGCAAUGGAGGAAACUCUGACGCAGGGACGCCGCGUAUAGGAAGAAGGUUUUCGGAUUGUAAACUAUUGUCGUUAGGGAAGAGAAAAGACUGUACCUAAGGAGGAAGCCCCGGCUAACUAUGUGCCAGCAGCCGCGGUAAUACAUAGGGGGCAAGCGUUAUCCGGAAUUAUUGGGUGUAAAGGGUGCGUAGACGGAAGAACAAGUUGGUUGUGAAAUCCCUCGGCUCAACCUGUGGCCUGCAUUUGAAACUGUUUUUCUUGAGUACUGGAGAGGCAGACGGAAUUCCUAGUGUAGCGGUGAAAUGCGUUGAUAUUAGGAGGAACACCAGUGGCGAAGGCGGUCUGCUGGACAGCAACUGACGCUGAGGCGCGAAAGCGUGGGGAGCAAACAGGAUUAGAUACCCGAGUAGUC